rnacentral:misc_RNA from 1 species
CCAAUAGCGUAUAUUAAAGUUGUUGCAGUUAAAAAGCUCGUAGUUGAAUUUCGGGAUUGACACAUCGGUCGUGCCUUAAGGGGUAUGAACUGGUGUAGUCAAUUUCUCACCUUCUGGAGAACCGCAAUGCCCUUAAUUGGGUGUCGCGGGGAACCAGGACCUUUACUUUGAAAAAAUUAGAGUGUUUAAAGCAGGCAUUUUGCUUGAAUACAUUAGCAUGGAAUAAUAAAAUAGGACGGCAUGAUUCUAUUUUGUUGGUUUCUAGGAUCACCGUAAUGAUUAAUAGGGAUAGUUGGGGGCAUUAGUAUUCAAUUGUCAGAGGUGAAAUUCUUGGAUUUAUUGAAGACUAACUACUGCGAAAGCAUUUGCCAAGGAUGUUUUCAUUAAUCAAGAACGAAAGUUAGGGGAUCGAAGACGAUCAGAUACCGUCAUAGUCUUAACCAUAAACUAUGCCGACUAGGAAUCAGACGAUGUUAAUUUUUUAAUGACUCGUUUGGCACCUUACG